AACCCAUGAUUUGGGCAUUUUCUCAACAUCAUUUUGAAUCUUUCCCAUGUCUCAAAAAGCUUCAUCUGUUCCUUGUCUAAACAUAGAAAUUUUAGACUUUGCUU
rnacentral:snoRNA from 1 species